GAUGAAGAACGUAGCAAAAUGCGAUACUUGGUGUGAAUUGCAGAAUCCCGUGAACCAUCGAGUCUUUGAACGCAAGUUGCGCCCGAAGCCUCGGCUAAGGGCACGUCUGCCUGGGCGUCACGCAUCGCGUCUCCCCCAAACCGCCAAGGCGGAGGGGAAGGAAGAUGGCUUCCCGUGCCUCACCCGGCGCGGUUGGCCUAAAUUUGGAGCCCGCGGCACUUAGCUCUCGCGGCGAUAGGUGGUGAACAAGGCCUUGGCCGUGCAAACAACCCGCUGCGAAGCUCUAUGUCACGUGCGCUCGUCGGACCCUUUGAAGUUGCCUUCGGUGACUUAAAACCUUUGCGACCCCAGGUCAGGCGGGGCUACCCGCUGAAUUUAAGCAUAUCAAUAAGCGGAGGA
rnacentral:misc_RNA from 1 species